CCCAGAGAGAUUCUUCACCUCUGCGAGAUAGAAUGCCGGAGAGAUUAAAAACCUGCAAAACUAGGAGGAGUCCUUGCAGCACACCCCUUUAAAAUGGUACCGUCGUGGGAAUGGAGGGUGGGUUAUAAGGAAGCAGGCUUUUUAUUAUAUGAAAAUAUUUGUGUUUGAGAAGGGGGGCCACCGGUGGCCCAACCCAAUUCCUGCAAUGAGAGACGAGUUUUCAGGACCUUUGUGGAGCCGCCUCCGGUGACUUGUCAUUAAUGUCCUGCCCUGUGAACCUUAUUGAUUUGUUGCACUCCCCGAUCAAAAAUCCAAGCAACAUCUUUGAGAAAAACUAAUAAUCGGAGUCUUCGGGGCAACAUGCAGCUGUGGUCUGUAUCCAUCAUCACCUGUCUGCUGUGUGGCCAAAGUGACAAGGAGACGUGCUCUAAAUUGGUUGGUACCGAGGUCAAGACCAUGAGAGUCAAUAUGGAUGCCCAGGCCUAGGGUAUUAACAUUCCUCCUAAGCAAAUCACUAAGACAACAAG
ensembl:antisense Gm42582 predicted gene 42582